GUUUGAUCCUGGCUCAGGAUGAACGCUAGCUACAGGCUUAACACAUGCAAGUCGACGCGCAGCAUUGUCAUAGCAAUAUGACAGAUGGCGACCGGCGCACGGGUGAGUAACACGUAUCCGACCUGCCUUCCACUCGGGAAUAGCCUUUCGAAAGAAAGAUUAAUGCCCGAUGGCACUGAAAGCCGUCAUCCUUUUUCAGUUAAAGAAUUUCGGUGGAAGAUGGGGAUGCGUUCCAUUAGCUUGUUGGCGGGAUAACGGCCCACCAAGGCAUCGAUGGAUAGGGGUUCUGAGAGGAAGGUCCCCCACAUAGGAACUGAGACACGGUCCAAACUCCUACGGGAGGCAGCAGUGAGGAAUAUUGGUCAAUGGGCGAGAGCCUGGACCAGCCAAGUAGCGUGAAGGAUGACUGCCCUAUGGUUUUAAACUUCUUUUAUAAGGGAAUAAAACGGGCCACGUGUGGCCUUUUGCAUGUACCUUAUGAAUAAGGAUCGGCUAACUCCGUGCCAGCAGCCGCGGUAAUACGGAGGAUCCGAGCGUUAUCCGGAUUUAUUGGGUUUAAAGGGAGCGCAGACGGGGUCUUAAGUCAGUUGUGAAAGUUUGCGGCUCAACCGUAAAAUUGCAGUUGAUACUGGGGCUCUUGAGUGCAGUAUAGGCAGGCGGAAUUCGUGGUGUAGCGGUGAAAUGCUUAGAUAUCACGAAGAACUCCGAUUGCGAAGGCAGCCUGCUGGACUGUAACUGACGUUCAUGCUCGAAAGUGCGGGUAUCAAACAGGAUUAGAUACCCUGGUAGUCCGCACAGUAAACGAUGAAUACUCGCUGUUGGCGAUACACAGUCAGCGGCCAAGCGAAAGCGUUAAGUAUUCCACCUGGGGAGUACGCCGGCAACGGUGAAACUCAAAGGAAUUGACGGGGGCCCGCACAAGCGGAGGAACAUGUGGUUUAAUUCGAUGAUACGCGAGGAACCUUACCCGGGCUUGAAUUGCAGAGGAAUAUGUAGGAAACUAUAUAGCCGCAAGGUCUCUGUGAAGGUGCUGCAUGGUUGUCGUCAGCUCGUGCCGUGAGGUGUCGGCUUAAGUGCCAUAACGAGCGCAACCCUUAUCUAUAGUUACCAUCAGGCAAUGCUGGGGACUCUAUGGAGACUGCCGUCGUAAGAUGUGAGGAAGGUUGGGAUGACGUCAAAUCAGCACGGCCCUUACGUCCGGGGCUACACACGUGUUACAAUGGGGGGUACAGAAGGCAGCUACACAGCGAUGUGAUGCCAAUCCCAAAAACCUCUCUCAGUUCGGACUGGAGUCUGCAACCCGACUCCACGAAGCUGGAUUCGCUAGUAAUCGCGCAUCAGCCACGGCGCGGUGAAUACGUUCCCGGGCCUUGUACACACCGCCCGUCAAGCCAUGAAAGCCGGGGGUACCUGAAGUGCGUACCGCGAGGAGCGCCCUAGGGUAAAACUGGUGAUUGGGGCUAAGUCGUAACAAGGUAGCCGUACCGGAAGGUGCGGCUGGAACACCUCCUUUCUGGAGCGACGCUCAAUCAAAAUCUUCGAUUUUGAAGUUCAAAGUUCAAAGUUGAAGGUUGAAAAUUAAAAGUUGGUUCUUUCAGUGAUACUGACAUCAGAACCUCUUCGUACUACGCGUACUUGUUUAUUAUGAUAUAAUGAGAAAGAAGAAGCCGAGCCGUAAGGCGAGGUUGAACUCGACAGUCCUAUAGCUCAGUUGGUUAGAGCGCUACACUGAUAAUGUAGAGGUCGGCAGUUCAACUCUGCCUGGGACUACGUAAAGAGUUAGAAGUUGACAGUUCAAGGUUGAUGGUUAUUGUAACUUUCAGCUUUCCACUUCCACUUUCAACUAAAAAACGGGGGAUUAGCUCAGCUGGCUAGAGCACCUGCUUUGCACGCAGGGGGUCAACGGUUCGAAUCCGUUAUUCUCCACUCAGCGACAGUCUUAGUGUGAUUGAUUUUUGAAACUUUCAACUAUCAAUUCUCAACUAUCAACUGUUUGCAAAGCGAACUAUGACAUGAUGUAACGAAAAAAGUAAAGUAAGAGCUGAAAGUAUAUAUCGACCAUACGUGAUCGGUAAGACAAAAAGUAAGCAAGGGCGCAUGGUGGAUGCCUUGGCG
rnacentral:rRNA from 1 species